rnacentral:misc_RNA from 1 species
UCCUGGUUAACCCAGGCAGUCUCAUUAGAGUUCCCAUCCGAAAUGUUGGCAACUAAUGAUAAGGGUUGCGCUCGUUGCGGGACUUAACCCAACACCUCACGGCACGAGCUGACGACAGCCAUGCAGCACCUGUGUAAAGGCCCCGAAGGGAGAUCUCAUCUCUGAGACUGUCCUCUACAUGUCAAAUCUGGGUAAGGUUCUUCGCGUUGCAUCGAAUUAAACCACAUGCUCCACUGCUUGUGCGGGUCCCCGUCAAUUCUUUUGAGUUUCAGCCUUGCGACUGUACUCCCCAGGCGGUAUACUUAACACGUUAGCUACGGCACAACUGGGGUUGAGUCCAGUUACACCAAGUAUACAUCGUUUACGGCAAGGACUAC